UUUUUUUUUUUUUUUGAAUUAUACAGUCGAGGGCGCGGUGUUGAGGCUUGCCUUNCCCGCCGGCNGACCGGCGCCGGGUGAGUCCUUUAAUGCAACCUGGCCGUCACAGGAGGAUAACCGGUAGACCUUCCGCCUAAUACUCCAUAAUACUCUUCGGGGACAUCCCCGAGGGGUCAAAGGAAUUCAUUCCGGUGACGGAUGGGCAUGCGGCGCAUUAGCUAGUCGGCGGGGUAACGGCCCACCGAGGCGACGAUGCGUAGGGGUUCUGAGAGGAAGGUCCCCCACAUUGGAACUGAGACACGGUCCAAACUCCUACGGGAGGCAGCAGUGAGGAAUAUUGGUCAAUGGGCGGAAGCCUGAACCAGCCAAGUCGCGUGAGGGAUUAAGGCCCUAUGGGUCGUAAACCUCUUUUGUCAGGGAGCAAGGCCUCUCACGUGUGGGAGGUUGGAGAGUACCUGAAGAAAAAGCAUCGGCUAAGUCCGUGCCAGCAGCCGCGGUAAUACGGAGGAUGCGAGCGUUAUCCGGAUUUAUUGGGUUUAAAGGGUGCGUAAGCGGGACCUUAAGUCAGCGGUAAAAUUGCGGUGCUCAACGCCGUAGAGCCGUUGAAACUGGGGUUCUUGAGUGAGCGAAAAGUAUGCGGAAUGCGUGGUGUAGCGGUGAAAUGCAUAGAUAUCACCCGGAACCCCGAUUGCGAAGGCAGCAUACAGGCGCUCACCUGACGCUGAGGCCAGGAAGUGCGGGUAUCGAGCA
rnacentral:rRNA from 1 species